rnacentral:rRNA from 1 species
CAAUAGCGUAUAUUAAAGUUGCUGCAGUUAAAAAGCUCGUAGUUGCAUUUCCGAGGCAAGGGAUUAGUCCGACCUUUGGUGGGUAUUUAAUCCUCUUGCCUCGUCCUUGAGUGGUGCUUCUUGGUAUUAAGUUAUCGAGGAGAUAGCCGCUCAUCGUUUACUGUGAGAAAAUUAGAGUGUUCAAAGCAGGCUUAUGCCGUUGAAUAUAUUAGCAUGGAAUAAUAAGAUAGGACCUCGGUACUAUUUUGUUGGUUUGAGAACCAAGGUAAUGAUGAAUAGGGACAGUUGGGGGUAUUCGUAUUCAGUUGUCAGAGGUGAAAUUCUUAGAUUUACGGAAGACGAACUACUGCGAANGNAUUUAGNAAGGAUGUUUNCAUUA